rnacentral:rRNA from 1 species
CAGAGCCGCGGUAAUACGGAGGGUGCAAGCGUUAAUCGGAAUUACUGGGCGUAAAGCGCACGCAGGCGGUCUGACAAGUCAGAUGUGAAAUCCCCGGGCUUAACCUGGGAACUGCAUUUGAAACUGUCAGGCUGGAGUCUUGUAGAGGGGGGUGGAAUUCCAGGUGUAGCGGUGAAAUGCGUAGAGAUCUGGAGGAAUACCGGUGGCGAAGGCGGCCCCCUGGACGAAGACUGACGCUCAGGUGCGAAAGCGUGGGGAGCAAACAGGAUUAGAUACCCCGGUAGUCCCUGUCUCUUAUACA